UACAGAGGGGGCAAGCGUUGUUCGGAAUUACUGGGCGUAAAGGGCGCGUAGGCGGCCCGCUAAGUCGAACGUGAAAUCCCCGGGCUCAACCCGGGAACUGCGUCCGAUACUGGCGGGCUUGAAUCCGGGAGAGGGAUGCGGAAUUCCAGGUGUAGCGGUGAAAUGCGUAGAUAUCUGGAGGAACACCGGUGGCGAAGGCGGCAUCCUGGACCGGUAUUGACGCUGAGGCGCGAAAGCCAGGGGAGCAAACGGG
rnacentral:rRNA from 1 species